GCCCAAGUAGCACAAUGGUAGUGCGUUGCUUUCCUAUGACCUUACUUCGCGCAGGCAGGCAAAGGUUGUGGGUUCGAUCCCCAUCUUGGGUU